rnacentral:misc_RNA from 1 species
GAUGAAGAACGUAGCGAAAUGCGAUAAGUAAUGUGAAUUGCAGAAUUCAGUGAAUCAUCGAAUCUUUGAACGCACAUUGCGCCCCUUGGUAUUCCGAGGGGCAUGCCUGUUCGAGCGUCAUUAUAACCCCUCAAGCUCAGCUUGGUGUUGGGGCCUGCUGCACUGGCAGCCCUUAAAAUCAGUGGCGGCGCCAUCUGGCUCUAAGCGUAGUAAUUCUUCUCGCUAUGGAGUCCUGGUGGAUGCUUGCCAUCAACCCCCAAUUUUUCUAUGGUUGACCUCGGAUCAGGUAGGGAUACCCGCUGAACUUAAGCAUAUCAAUAAGCGAGA